GACGAACGCUGGCGGCAUGCUUAACACAUGCAAGUCGAGCGCCCCGCAAGGGGAGCGGCAGACGGGUGAGUAACGCGUGGGAAUCUACCCAUCCCUACGGAAUAGCUCCGGGAAACUGGAAUUAAUACCGUAUACGCCCUACGGGGGAAAGAUUUAUCGGGGAUGGAUGAGCCCGCGUUGGAUUAGCUAGUUGGUGGGGUAAAGGCCUACCAAGGCGACGAUCCAUAGCUGGUCUGAGAGGAUGAUCAGCCACAUUGGGACUGAGACACGGCCCAAACUCCUACGGGAGGCAGCAGUGGGGAAUAUUGGACAAUGGGGGCAACCCUGAUCCAGCCAUGCCGCGUGAGUGAUGAAGGCCUUAGGGUUGUAAAGCUCUUUCACCGGGGAAGAUAAUGACGGUACCCGGAGAAGAAGCCCCGGCUAACUUCGUGCCAGCCGCCGCAGUAACAC
rnacentral:rRNA from 1 species